rnacentral:rRNA from 1 species
GACGAACGCUGGCGGCGUGCUUAACACAUGCAAGUCGAACGGAAAGGCCCUGCUCUUGUGGGGUGCUCGAGUGGCGAACGGGUGUGUAACACGCGAGUAACCUGCCCUUGACUUAGGGAUAACUUCAGGAAACUGGGGCUAAUACCGGAUAGGAGCUCUUGCAGCAUGGUGGGGGAUGGAAAGUUUCGGCGGUUGGGGCUGGACUCGCGGCGUAUUAGCUAGUUGGUGUGGUAGUGGCUUACCAAGGGUUGGAUGGGUAGCCGACCGGAGAGGGGGGUCGGCCAGACUGGAAGGGGGACACGGACCAUACGCCUAGGGGAGGCGCCAGUAGGGAAUCUGGCGGAAUGGGCGAAAGAUUGACGGAGCAAGGCGGAGUGAUUGAUGAAGGUCUUCGGGUCGGAAAACUCGGUUUUUGGGGAAGAACACAUGUGUAAGUAACAAGGAACGUCUUGACGGUAACUGGUCAGAAAGCCACGGCUAACUACGUG